AGUGAACGCUGGCGGUAGGCCUAACACAUUCAAGUCGAACGGCAGCACAGGAGAGCUUGCUCUCUGGGUGGCGAGUGGCGGACGGGUGAGGAAUACAUCGGAAUCUACUCUGUCGUGGGGGAUAACGUAGGGAAACUUACGCUAAUACCGCAUACGACCUACGGGUGAAAGCAGGGGAUCUUCGGACCUUGCGCGAUUGAAUGAGCCGAUGUCGGAUUAGCUAGUUGGCGGGGUAAAGGCCCACCAAGGCGACGAUCCGUAGCUGGUCUGAGAGGAUAAUCAGCCACACUGGAACUGAGACACGGUCCAGACUCCUACGGGAGGCAGCAGUGGGGAAUAUUGGACAAUGGGCGCAAGCCUGAUCCAGCCAUACCGCGUGGGUGAAGAAGGCCUUCGGGUUGUAAAGCCCUUUUGUUGGGAAAGAAAUCCAGCUGGCUAAUACCCGGUUGGGAUGACGGUACCCAAAGAAUAAGCACCGGCUAACUUCGUGCCAGCCGCCGCGGUAA
rnacentral:rRNA from 1 species